GGGAGCAGCAGUGGGGAAUAUUGCGCAAUGGGGGAAACCCUGACGCAGCGACGCCGCGUGUAGGAAGAAGGCCUUCGGGUCGUAAACUACUGUCAGGAGGGAAGAAACUGUUAGGGUAUAAUACGCCCUUUCACUGACGGUACCUCCAAAGGAAGCACCGGCUAACUCCGUGCCAGCAGCCGCGGUAAUACGGAGGGUGCGAGCGUUAAUCGGAAUCACUGGGCGUAAAGCGUGCGUAGGCGGCGUGACAAGUCAGGCGUGAAAGCCCUCGGCUCAACCGAGGAAUUGCGUUUGAAACUGUCACACUAGAGUCUCGGAGAGGUUGGCGGAAUUCCAGGUGUAGGAGUGAAAUCCGUAGAUAUCUGGAGGAACACCGGUGGCGAAGGCGGCCAACUGGACGAGUACUGACGCUGAGGUACGAAAGCGUGGGGAGCAAACAGGAUUAGAUACCCUGGUAGUCCACGCUGUAAACGAUGGAUAUUAGGUGUCGGGGUUCACACUUCGGUGCCGCAGUUAACGCGUUAAAUAUCCCGCCUGGGGAGUACGGUCGCAAGGCUGAAACUCAAAGGA
rnacentral:rRNA from 1 species